rnacentral:rRNA from 1 species
AGUGAACGCUGGCGGUAGGCCUAACACAUGCAAGUCGAACGGCAGCACAGUAAGAGCUUGCUCUUACGGGUGGCGAGUGGCGGACGGGUGAGGAAUACAUCGGAAUCUACUUUUUCGUGGGGGAUAACGUAGGGAAACUUACGAUAAUACCGCAUACGACCUACGGGUGAAAGCAGGGGAUCUUCGCACCUUGCGCGAUUGAAUGAGCCGAUGUCGGAUUAGCUAGUUGGCGGGGUAAAGGCCCACCAAGGCGACGAUCCGUAGCUGGUCUGAGAGGAUGAUCAGCCACACUGGAACUGGGACACGGUCCAGACUCCUACGGGAGGCAGCAGUGGGGAAUAGUGGACAAUGGGCGCAAGCCUGAUCCAGCCAGACCGCGUGGGUGAAGAAGGCCUUCGGGUUGUAAAGCCCUUUUGUUGGGAAAGAAAAGCAGCAGGUUAAUACCCCGCUGUUCUGACGGUACCCAAAGAAUAAGCACCGGCUAACUUCGUG